CGUAAUGCUAUAAGCCUCUGACCAUCAUCAGAGCUGGAAAAAUUGUUCUUUUAAAAAAAAAAAAACAGUGGCUUUCAGGAUUCCCCAGCCAGCAGGAGCAUAGCAGGCUGGCUCGGGAGAUUUUGGCUCUCUCUACCAUCACUCCCACUUAGUGACUUGGUGUAUGUUAUUUUUUUUAAUCAUAAAAAUAACCACGGACUUUUCCCCCUCUCUUUCAGCUUCCCUUGCGGUCACAUCACAGAUUUCAGUGGAGGAAGUCACUACUGCUGUGGUGAGUUUGGAUUGCAACACCAUCAUUUUAACCACCGCCGUCUAGAUCGGGAGCCUUGGAAAGCCAAACUGGGGUAAAGGAUUCUGGAAUUGAGCCCAUUUGCCAAAACCCUUAAAAAUUGUGUCAUUUCCUGGGGUUUCGCUGCCCUUCGUCUGCUUCGGGAGUACUGCAGUUUAUGCUACGAUUAUUCCUCUCUCCACGUUUUCUUUAGCGUUCAGUGAAACCUUCCUUGAGCAUUGGUAUAAACACGUUUGCUAACAUCCUUGUACUUUGCUUGCAUUUUUGUGACAAA
ensembl:lncRNA